CCCAACCCUCUGCUACAGCGUCAACGAUGUCAGUCAUUCCUGAAUGGUGCCGGGGGCUCUCAGGCCACAGGAGAAACUGUCAGGGAGCUCAUGGUUCCCGAGUGGCUGAAGCUGUGCUAGAUGCCGGAGACAGAGAUGACAGAGGCGAGGGAAACAGCCAAGAACGAGAUUAAUGACAACCAGUGUACAAAAGACAAAAUAUGUGCCUGACACAAGAGAGAGGAAGGGAGAGGGAGAGAGAGACAGAAACUUCAAUGAUGAGAGAGAAUCAUAGAUCAGCCACCUUCUGCAGGUCCCCCACCAGGGAAUCGAGCCUACAACCUGAGCAUGUGAGAACAGAACUGUGACCUUCUGAUUCAUGGGUCGACCCUCAACCUCUGAGCCGUACCGACAGGGCCAUUAUUGUUUUAACUUGCCUUUUCCUGCUUACUUGUGAGAUUAUGCAUCUUUCCAUAUAUUUAUUGGCCAUUUGUAUUUCCUCUAUGAAUUAAUUGCCAUGUCUUUUGUCCACUUUCUCAUUGAAUUUUUAAUUUAAUUAGGAUUAAAGAAAAUUCUAUUUCUGGUAAUAUGACUGGCUGGACUCUGGACAGAUCCUUCUGAGUGCUAGUUAACAUACAAAUGCAGAUUAUUU